AGGAGCUUAGGUUAAUGAUUAAACCAGGGGCCUUCAAAGCCCCAAAUAGGGAUUAUACCCUAGCUCCUG
rnacentral:tRNA from 1 species